AAAAUAGUUCUUAGCACAAUUGUUCAAAGCUAGCUAGCGGCGUCUCCGUUAGUUAUUUAGAUAUUGUGUGUUCUCAAUAAUUUGGCCCAAUUAAUUUUAUAUUGAAUUAAGCCGAAAGUGAUUACAACAAACUUCCAAACCGGAAACAAAAAAAGCCGGAUCCACCAAGAAUAAACCAAAUUUGCAAUAGAGAAACAAUGGAUAACGUCGUGGUGUCUCACGAUUCUGCCAACGACUAUUCCAGGCGUUGGGUAAGCAUCAUCAUCAACGCCAACACAACUAUCGCAUGCCCGCCUCUCCGCCGCAUGUCCGCACGAAAACAACUUUUAUUAUGCCUACAUAUUCACUCGCACCGCCGGUUGCGUCUGCAUCUUCGUCAGCAUUUGAGUCAAUAAUUAUGGUUAUUAAUCGGCGGUGGAAUUGGCUGCUAAUUUGCAGUUUAGUUACAAAUUCUGCCCGCUGGCGUGCAAUUAUGGGCUAAAUUAUAGCUUAAAAAUAAACAAAACAUCGCAUCGUAUGUCAGGCCGUGUGCUUCGAGUGCAAUGCGAAGGUAACAGGCGUUGCAGCAACAGUAUCAACAAUCAGCCAAUGAAACAUCAGAUCUCAGCGCAUCGCAGCAGCAUCAGAUCUCAGUCUUUCAUCACUUGCACCGCAUCACUGCAACACAGUUACAGUGAAAUGAAAUGUCACAGUUUGCACGGCCUUGGCGAGAUUAGAGGCAUUCCUACCCUUGCGAUAUAAAGAGAUAAUCGAGUUUUACGGGUUUUAUGAAAUGAGAUUCAUAAAAACAUACAUCAUCGCCGAAAACGCUUCUGAUUGCACGAAUUUAAGGAUUUUUCGGAAGUUUAAAUACAGAAUACCAGGAACCAGGCUCCCGUGAGGUAAUUAAAAAAUACCAGAGUUAAUGACUGCGCCAAUAUCUCUGCAUAUAAGGUACAUACAUACACAUACAUUUUAACACAUACAUAUACUGUUGUGGAAGCUGAUGCAAGUGUCAUUGCUAGGACGCGUGAAAUUUGGUACAGAAAAUGUCAAGCUCACGUUCUCGCACAACAUUUCAUGGAAAAUCCACUAUCAAAAAAAAUUUUAAAAAGGAAUAAAGAAUUUAUGACCUGAUUUUUUGGGUUUAUUAUAAAAAGUGAAGUCAAAUAAAGCAUAACCGUUUUAAGAUUCUUUAAGCCAGUUUAUACACGAAGUCUUUUGUAGCCCAAACCGGUUGGCUCCGGUAGACGAGGGAACAACGAGGAAGACGAAGUCCCGUGCCGCUCGUGCUCGGGUUCAAAUGAAUAUAUACGAUCAUUCCGAAAUUUGAAUUUUGUCAUCUAUUUUUUGUAUGUAAU